CUGGGAGGUAGCGUUUCACCAUAUUGAAUUUGGGGAAGGAUACAGUCAGUCUAUAGCAUCUGCUUCCCUCUCAGAAGCCCGUUGCUGUCACAUGGACAAGCAAGCAAGAAGGAAGAUGAAAGACACAUGGCCCAGUCAACACUCCCUGCUGACUAUACAGCUAACCUCCAGAAGCAGAGCCACCUACCUGGCCUGCAGGGCCCACGGAAGGAAGACCCAUGGAGACCCACAGGUGAAGUAUAUUGAAUGGAAUUACAACUUUCAGAGGAAAGAGCCAGAUUAUAAAAGGGCCUAAGCUUUAAAACACCUGCUGUAGAAGAAAAGAAAAAAAGAACCUGUCUUCACCUGGAAAAGUCAGAGAAAUUCCAUAGAAAAACCAUCAGGAAGAAAUUCCCUGGGACCAGGGACAGACCAGGAAAUUUUAAUGACAUCUAUUAAAUUUUAGAUUAUUUUGUGUCCAAA
rnacentral:lncRNA from 1 species